UAUAUGUAAAACAAUUAUUUUAGGCCCGUGAGCCCGCGGGCAAGCCCGGCCCGUUAAUAGAGCGGGCUUGGACAAUUUAUCAAGCUCGCAUAAAAUGGCUCGGGUUAGCUACAAUAAGCCCGUUGGACAAAAAAUAAAGUAUAGGCCCGGCCCGUUUCCCGUCCAAGCCCGCAAACGAUCACCUCAUAUAUAUAUAUGGAAGUAGGAUCAUAUGCGAACUACCUCCAAUAAUGCGAACUGAGAACUAAUCCGAGCCGUCUAUUGCGUUAGAUCUGACUGUCUACACUUCACCCGCCUCAUUAAGGGCAAAAUUGUAAAUUUUCACUUUGAAUGACUAGAUUCAAUUGAUUUGAUUUCCAUUUUUACUUUCUCUCUCUCAUUUCAUUUUCUCUCUCUUCCUCUGAAUUCUCUCUAGUUCUAUCUAUCUCAUCCUUUGAAUUUUCUGCAUUCUUAUCGUCGUUGGAUUUGCUGUUCUUCUUCGUUUUUUUUUCAUUGCAAAUUGAUACGAAACAAAUAGUAGAAGCGGAAAGGAUCUCAGUUGACCAUGUUUCACAUUUAGAGCCAGCUGAGGUGAAUCUGCCGCUACCCAAUGUGAGCUCAUCUGCCUAGUUUCUCAGCGGUUGUCUCAAGUAGCCAAGAUGAAAAUGGCUUAGGGUUUCAAGCAUAGGUGCUGGAGCAGGAGCGGACUUGGAUUUAUGAGGCUCGCAUGCUGGAGCAGGAGCUGGAGCAAGAGCAGGCUUAGGUUUGUCAGGUUGGGCAGUUGAGGGAGGGGCAGGCUUGGAUGGAGGCUUGAUCUCGAUGCUCUUAAUGGAUUUGUCAGCUUUGCAGCAAAGCUUGUUUAUGAUCUUGUCUGGACUGCAGCAAACCACAGUGAUUGUCACCGUGUUAUUCUUUUGAGUUCUUUGCUCGGAAGUUCUUAGAGUUGAGCGAAACGGGAUGCUGCUAUGAACAAGAGUGCAGUCUACAUACGUACUGAUCAUUGGAUCAAGGGAUCUGUGUAUAAGGGAAAAUAGUUUCCCUAAUAGUAUACAGUUUCAAGGACCUGCAGGCAGCGACAGCAAAUUGUAGUACUAAUCAUUGGAUUAAGGGAUCAAUGUAUAAGGGAAUUGUAAAUGGCAAUCAGGUGGUAAUCAAAAAGAUGGAUGGAGAUGUCAGCAAAGAGAUUAAUGUACUAAACAAGAUCAACCGUUUAAAUCUCAUUAGAUUGUAGGGGGUUUGCUUUUAGGAUGGAAUUGGUACUAUGUCUAUGAAUAUGCAGGUACUAUGUCUAUGUCUAUGAAUACGGUUGUUAGCAGAUGCAUUUUUUUAUGAUUAAGCUUUUCUUAUUUACUUUUGAGUAUAUUAUAUUUACUUUUGUUUUAUAAAAAAAAUAAAAACUAUUAAUUGUGUUAACGAAAUAUUCUUACUCUAUAAUAGCCUACUAGCUCAAUAGGUAGAGCAUUGUGCAAGUGCACAAAAAGAUGUGGGUUCGAAUCCCACGUAGGUUUAUGUGUGUAAUCUCAAGAUUAGAAUUCCUAAUGGUUUAUUAUAUUUUAUUUUUUUUUGUUAACUUUUGAUAUAGUUUUAUUUACUUUUAAUUUGAAAACUUCUAUGUCAUAUUGAACUCAAUAUAUUUGUUUCUUUUAAUAAUUUGACUCGCCUUGUAAGGAUAUGAAAGUCAAUGACUCGGAGUUUUUGUGCUAUAAUAAUGUUCCCAUAGUCAUUUCUCAUUUCAAGAUAUUUAUUAUUCAUAUACUUAAGAGCUAAUUUGAUUUACUUCAAUGAUACCUUGGUUUACUUUUUAGCAUUAUUUAUUUACUU